GGUCUCUGAGCUCCGGAGGAGCUCCCAGUGUCUUCUCCACCUCUCUGUUCGGAGGUGCUGCACCUCCUGCCUUCUCCUUCAGUGGGGCCAAAGCUGAGGCUGCCCCCACCCAGACAACAGAUGAAAACGGGGAGGAAUCGGACGAACCGCCCAAAGUGGAAGUCCAGGAGAUCAAGGAGACUGACGCCUUUUACUCCAAGAAGUGUAAACUCUUCUAUAAGAAGGAGACGGAGUUCAAGGAGAAAGGAGUCGGAACGCUGCAUCUGAAAACGACGUCGGACGGAAAGACACAGCUGUUAGUCCGCGCCGAUACCAACCUGGGUAACAUCCUGUUGAACAUCAUGGUCCAGCCUUCCAUACCCUGUUCCAGAAUGGGGAAGAACAACGUGAUGGUGAUUUGUGUUCCUAACCCUGUGGUGGACCACAACAACCCUACCAACCCUGUCGCCAUGCUCAUCAGGGUCAAAACAGCAGAGGAUGCUGACGAACUGCACAACAUACUGGAGGAGAAGAAAGCUUAGAUAACUAACCCCUGGUCCCUGGAGGGCGAUACAGGCUGACCCCACUCCACCCUUCUGCCUAUCAACUAACCCCUGGUCCCUGGAGGGGGAUACAGGCUGACCCCACUCCACCCUUCUGCCUAUCAACUAACCCCUAGGUCCAGUCCUGUACCCCUAGCCCCUCCACCCCAGGUCCAGUCCUGUGCCCCUCCGCCCCAGGUCCAGUCCUGUGCCCCUCCGCCCCAGGUCCAGUCUUGUACCCCUAGCCCCUCCGCCCCUGGUCCAGUCUUGUACCCCUAGCCCCUCCGCCCCAGGUCCAGUCCUGUACGCCUAGCCCCUCCGCCCCAGGUCCAGUCCUGUGCCCCUCCACCCCAGGUCCAGUCUUAUACCCCUAGCCCCUCCACCCCAGGUCCAGUCUUAUACCCCUAGCCCCUCCGCCCAAGGUCCAGUCUUGUGCCCCUCCGCCCAAGGUCCAGUCUUGUACCCCUAGCCCCUCCGCCCAAGGUCCAGUCUUGUACCCCUCCGCCCCAGGUCCAGUCCUGUGCCCCUCCGCCCCAGGUCCGUCCUGUGCCCCUCCGCCCCAGGUCCAGUCCUGUGCCCCUCCGCCCCAGGUCCAGUCCUGUGCCCCUCCGCCCCAGGUCCAGUCCUGUGCCCCUCCGCCCCAGGUCCAGUCCUGUGCCCCUCCGCCCCAGGUCCAGUCCUGUGCCCCUCCGCCCCAGGUCCAGUCCUGUGCCCCUCCGCCCCAGGUCCAGUCCUGUGCCCCUCCGCCCCAGGUCCAGUCCUGUGCCCCUCCGCCCCAGGCCCAGUCCUGUGCCGUGCCCCUCCGCCCCAGGGCAAGUCCUGUGCCGUGCCCAUCCGCCCCAGGGCAAGUCCUGUGCCGUGCCCCUCCACCCCACGUCCAGUCCUGUACCCCUAGCUCCUCCGCCCCAGGUCCAGUCCCGUGCCCCUCCGCCCCAGGUCCAGUCCCGUGCCCCUCCGCCCCAGGUCCAGUCCCGUGCCCCUCCGCCCCCUAUCUAGUGCACUACUUUAGACCAGGCCCCUAUUCCCUACCUAGUGCACUACCUUGACCAGCUAGAUGGUCUGAACUAGUGAACUAGAAAGGGAAUAGGAGGCCAUUUUGUCAUGUGAUGCCAGAGGGGUCGUCUACAACGAAUUUUAUCUUCACACACCUGGACUAGACACACCUGGACUAGACACACCUGGACUAGACACACUGACACACCUGGACUAGACACACCUGGACUAGACAUGCUGUAACAGAGACACACCUGGACUAGACAUACCUGGACUAGACACACCUGGACUAGACAUGCUGUAACAGAGACACACCUGGACUAGACACACCAACAGAGACACACCUGGACUAGACACACCGACACACCUGGACUAGACACGUGACCGUUGAAAUGAAAUGUUUUAUUUUUGCAUGCGUUGUGUAGCAACACAUUUUUAGUUAUAAAACAUGGUUCAUUUGUGAUUUUAUUUUUUAUUACUGUGAAAGUUCAACGGGCUCCACUGUCUCUUGCUCCUAACAGGUCGUGACCCCCAUAUUCACCUUCCUGUGGGAUUCAGUAACAUUCCGUCUAGAUUGAAUACUACUGCUGCUAUAGUUUUCAUUAAAGAUGAGAGGGGAAGCAGGCUGAUUUUUUUUUUUGAACGGUUAGCGAUCCUGUUAUGAUGUGGUUCUUCUGGUUGUGGACGAGAGAAGACAUUUUAAAGUGUGGUAGACCUAGUUAUGAAGAGGGUGUGUUUUUCUACCUGCUCUGUCCAGCUCUCUGAGGAACAAACAUUUGUUUUUGAAAAGGGGUGUGUUGAUCAGGGUUCAUUUUUGAAAUGGCUCCCUAUUCCCUAUCUAGUGCUCUACGUAGGGAAUAGGGUCCCUCAUAGGGGAUUUGGUUAAACCUAGGGGUCCUGUCUGUGUUUCUACUGAAUGUGUGUUCACAACCUUUUUGCUUUGUAAGACUGUAUUUAUUGUAAAAGAUAAAUGGAAAAUAUGUUGUGCUUGAGUGAGAUGAAUUAUUUUACCUGUCUUGAGUAAAUGGACUCCGAUUCCCUUCUCCCCCUCGUGGAAUUACACUCACUCAACAUGGCCGCCGGGUUCACCCAUAACUGUCUGAGUAAAUGGACUCCAACUCCCUUCUCCCCCUCGUGGAAUUACACUCACUCAACAUGGCCGCCGGGUUCACCCAUAACUGUGUAAAUGGACUCACACUCACUCAACAUGGCCGCCUUCUCCCCCUCGUGGAAUUAUACUCACUCAACAUGGCCGCCGGGUUCACCCAUAACUGUGUAAAUGGACUCCGAUUCCCUUCCCCCCCCUCGUGGAAUUACACUCACUCAACAUGGCCGCCGGGUUCACCCAUAACUGUGUAAAUGGACUCACACUCACUCAACAUGGCCGCCGGGUUCACCCAUAACUGUGUAAAUGGACUCCGAUUCCCUUCUCCCCCCUCGUGGAAUUACACUCACUCAACAUGGCCGCCGGGUUCACCCAUAACUGUGUAAAUGGACUCACACUCACUCAACAUGGCCGCCGGGUUCACCCAUAACUGUGUAAAUGGACUCCGAUUCCCUUCUCCCCCCCUCGUGGAAUUACACUCACUCAACAUGGCCGCCGGGUUCACCCAUAACUGUGUAAAUGGACUCACACUCACUCAACAUGGCCGCCGGGUUCACCCAUAACUGUGUAAAUGGACUCACACUCACUCAACAUGGCCGCCGGGUUCACCCAUAACUGUGUCAUUGAGUUGAAAAGGGAAUGUCUGCUUCAGUAAUCGUCUUUCUAUGGGAAUAUAUCUCCCUUCUCACAGCCUCUCUGACAUUCUAGAUGUAUCUUUCUAGCGCCGGUCAAAAAGUAGAGCACCAUUUUUGGAUGCCGGGGUGGAAGGUCCAGUCGGG
rnacentral:lncRNA from 1 species